rnacentral:rRNA from 1 species
GGUUGGUUUAGUUAAGUCAGAUGUAGAAACGGCCCGGGGCUACAACCGUACGGUAAUUGCUAUUUAGAAACGUGGACAAACUAGAGUACUGUAGGAGGGGGUAGAAUUUCAGGUGUAGCGGUGAAAUGCGUAGAGAUCUGAAGGAAUACCGGUGGCGAAGGCGGCCCCCUGGACAGAUACUGACACUCAGAUGCGAAAGCGUGGGGAGCAAACAGGAUUAGAUACCCUGGUAG